UCAUUACUGAGUUUUUAACUCUCCAAACCAUGUGAACUUACCACUGUUGCCUCGGUGGCUGGUGCUGGAAACAGUGCUGCCACCGGUGGACUACUAAACUCUUGUUAAUUUUUGUCAAAUCUGAAUCAAACUAAGAAAUAAGUUAAAACUUUCAACAACGGAUCUCUUGGUUCUGGCAUCGAUGAAGAACGCAGCGAAAUGCGAUAAGUAAUGUGAAUUGCAGAAUUCAGUGAAUCAUCGAAUCUUUGAACGCACAUUGCGCCCAUUAGUAUUCUAGUGGGCAUGCCUGUUCGAGCGUCAUUUCAACCCUUAAGCCUAGCUUAGUGUUGGGAGACUGCCUAAUACGCAGCUCCUCAAAACCAGUGGCGGAGUCUGUUCGUGCUCUGAGCGUAGUAAUUUUUUAUCUCGCUUCUGCAAGCCGGCCAGACGACAGCCAUAAACCGCACCCUCUCGGGGGGCACUUUUUUAAUGGUUGACCUCGGAUCAGGUAGGAAUACCCGCUGAACUUAAGCAUAUCAAUAAGCGGAGGAAAAGAAACCAACAGGGAUUGCCCUAGUAACGGCGAGUGAAGCGGCAACAGCUCAAAUUUGAAAUCUGGC
rnacentral:rRNA from 1 species